rnacentral:tRNA from 1 species
UCCCUGGUGUCUCAGAUGGUACAGAAUCUGCUUUCAAUGCAGGAUACCUGGGUUCGAUCCCCAGAUUGGGAA